AACGAACGCUGGCGGCAGGCCUAACACAUGCAAGUCGAACGGAACCUUCGGGCUUGGUGCCGCACGGUGCGGUACCCGGGGGGAACCUGCCUUUGGGUCCGGAUUAACUCCCGGAAGGGGGUCCUAAAACGGGAUAUUGUUUCGGAACCAAAGUUUUAUCGCCUUUGGAUGGGCCCGCGUUGGAUUAGCUAGUUGGUAGGGUAAAAGCCUACAAAGGCGACGAUCCAUAGCUGGUCUGAGAGGAUGAUCAGCCACACUGGGACUGAGACACGGCCCAGACUCCUACGGGAGGCAGCAGUGGGGAAUAUUGGACAAUGGGCGAAAGCCUGAUCCAGCAAUGCCGCGUGAGUGAUGAAGGCCUUAGGGUUGUAAAGCUCUUUUACCCGGGAUGAUAAUGACAGUACCGGGAGAAUAAGCUCCGGCUAACUCCGUG
rnacentral:rRNA from 1 species